AUUGAACGCUGGCGGCAGGCUUAACACAUGCAAGUCGAGCGGGGGAAGGUAGCUUGCUACCGGACCUAGCGGCGGACGGGGGAGUAAUGCUUAGGAAUCUGCCUAUUAGUGGGGGACAACAUCUCGAAAGGGAUGCUAAUACCGCAUACGUCCUACGGGAGAAAGCAGGGGAUCUUCGGACCUUGCGCUAAUAGAUGAGCCUAAGUCGGAUUAGCUAGUGGGUGGGGUAAAGGCCUACCAAGGCGACGAUCUGUAGCGGGUCUGAGAGGAUGAUCCGCCACACUGGGACUGAGACACGGCGCAGACUCCUACGGGAGGCAGCAGUGGGGAAUAUUGGACAAUGGGGGGAACCCUGAUCCAGCCAUGCCGCGUGUGUGAAGAAGGCCUUAUGGUUGUAAAGCACUUUAAGCGAGGAGGAGGCUACUUUAGUUAAUACCGAGAGAUAGUGGACGUUACUCGCAGAAUAAGCACCGGCUAACUCUGUGCCAGCCGCCGCGGUAA
rnacentral:rRNA from 1 species